ACGUAGGGUGCGAGCGUUAAUCGGAAUUACUGGGCGUAAAGCGUGCGCAGGCGGUUCGCUAAGACAGGUGUGAAAUCCCCGGGCUUAACCUGGGAAUGGCGCUUGUGACUGGCGAGCUGGAGUGCGGCAGAGGGAGGUGGAAUUCCAGGUGUAGCAGUGAAAUGCGUAGAGAUGGGGAGGAACACCGAUGGCGAAGGCAGCCCCCUGGGCCGAUACUGACGUUGAGGCACGAAAGCGUGGGGAGCAAACAG
rnacentral:rRNA from 1 species